CGCGGGAUGGAGCAGUUCGGUAGCUCGUCGGGCUCAUAACCCGAAGGUCGUUGGUUCAAAUCCAGCUCCCGCAACCA
rnacentral:tRNA from 31 species